ensembl:snRNA U6 U6 spliceosomal RNA
AUGCUCAGUUUGGCAGCACACAUGCUAAAAGUGGAACAGUACAGGGGUUAGCAUGGCCCCUGUAAUGACAAGCAAAUCUGGAAGCAACCCAUUUUUUA